ACCGACUUACGUUGAAAAGUGAGCGGAUGAACUGAGGGUAGCGGAGAAAUUCCAAUCGAACUUGGAGAUAGCUGGUUCUCUCCGAAAUAGCUUUAGGGCUAGCCUCAAGUGAUGAUUAUUGGAGGUAGAGCACUGUUUGGACGAGGGGCCCCUCUCGGGUUACCGAAUUCAGACAAACUCCGAAUGCCAAAUAAUUUAACUUGGGAGUCAGAAUGUGGGUGAUAAGGUCCAUAUUCGAAAGGGAAACAGCCCAGACCACCAGCUAAGGUCCCAAAAUAUAUGUUAAGUGGAAAAGGAUGUGGCGUUGCCCAGACAACUAGGAUGUUGGCUUAGAAGCAGCCAUCAUUUAAAGAGUGCGUAAUAGCUCACUAGUCGAGUGACACUGCGCCGAAAAUGUACCGGGGCUAAACAUAUUACCGAAGCUGUGGAUUGUCCUUUGGACAAUGGUAGGAGAGCGUUCUAAGGGCGUUGAAGCAUGAUCGCAAGGACAUGUGGAGCGCUUAGAAGUGAGAAUGCCGGUGUGAGUAGCGAAAGACGGGUGAGAAUCCCGUCCACCGAUUGACUAAGGUUUCCAGAGGAAGGCUCGUCCGCUCUGGGUUAGUCGGGUCCUAAGCUGAGGCCGACAGGCGUAGGCGAUGGAUAACAGGUUGAUAUUCCUGUACCACCAUUAUUCGUUUUAAGCGAUGGGGGGACGCAGUAGGAUAGGCGAAGCGUGCUGUUGGAGUGCACGUCCAAGCAGUGAGAUUGAGUGUUAGGCAAAUCCGGCACUCUUAAGAUUGAGCUGUGAUGGGGAGAGGAACUUGUUCCUCGAGUCGUUGAUUUCACACUGCCGAGAAAAGCCUCUAGCUAGAAUAACGGUGCCCGUACCGCAAACCGACACAGGUAGUCAAGAUGAGAAUUCUAAGGUGAGCGAGCGAACUCUCGUUAAGGAACUCGGCAAAAUGACCCCGUAACUUCGGGAGAAGGGGUGCUCUUUGAGGUUCACGCUUCGAAGAGCCGCAGUGAAUAGGCCCAAGCGACUGUUUAUCAAAAACACAGGUCUCUGCUAAACCGUAAGGUGACGUAUAGGGGCUGACGCCUGCCCGGUGCUGGAAGGUUAAGAGGAGUGGUUAGCGCAAGCGAAGCUACGAAUCGAAGCCCCAGUAAACGGCGGCCGUAACUAUAACGGUCCUAAGGUAGCGAAAUUCCUUGUCGGGUAAGUUCCGACCCGCACGAAAGGCGUAACGAUUUGGGCACUGUCUCAACGAGAGACUCGGUGAAAUCAUAGUACCGGUGAAGAUGCCGGUUACCCGCGACAGGACGGAAAGACCCCGUGGAGCUUUACUGUAGCCUGAUAUUGAAAUUCGGUACAGUUUGUACAGGAUAGGUAGGAGCCUUAGAAGCGUGAGCGCUAGCUUACGUGGAGGCAUUGGUGGGAUACUACCCUAAUUGUAUUGGAUUUCUAACCCGCAGCACUUAUCGUGCUGGGAGACAGUGUCAGGCGGGCAGUUUGACUGGGGCGGUCGCCUCCUAAAGAGUAACGGAGGCGCUCAAAGGUUCCCUCAGAAUGGUUGGAAAUCAUUCAUAGAGUGUAAAGGCAUAAGGGAGCUUGACUGCGAGACCUACAAGUCGAGCAGGGUCGAAAGACGGACUUAGUGAUCCGGUGGUUCCGCAUGGAAGGGCCAUCGCUCAACGGAUAAAAGCUACCCCGGGGAUAACAGGCUUAUCUCCCCCAAGAGUUCACAUCGACGGGGAGGUUUGGCACCUCGAUGUCGGCUCAUCGCAUCCUGGGGCUGUAGUCGGUCCCAAGGGUUGGGCUGUUCGCCCAUUAAAGCGGUACGCGAGCUGGGUUCAGAACGUCGUGAGACAGUUCGGUCCCUAUCCGUCGUGGGCGUAGGAAAUUUGAGAGGAGCUGUCCUUAGUACGAGAGGACCGGGAUGGACAUACCUCUGGUGUACCAGUUGUCGUGCCAACGGCAUAGCUGGGUAGCUAUGUAUGGACGGGAUAAGUGCUGAAAGCAUCUAAGCAUGAAGCCCCCCUCGAGAUGAGAUUUCCCAACUUCGGUUAUAAG
rnacentral:rRNA from 1 species